rnacentral:rRNA from 1 species
CUACGGGGUGCAGCAGUGGGGAAUCUUAGACAAUGGGCGCAAGCCUGAUCUAGCCAUUCCGCGUGAGUGAUGAAGGCCUUAGGGUCGUAAAGCUCUUUCGCCAGAGAUGAUAAUGACAGUAUCUGGUAAAGAAACCCCCGCUAACUCCGUGCCAGCAGCCGCGGUAAUACGGAGGGGGUUAGCGUUGUUCGGAAUUACUGGGCGUAAAGCGCACGUAGGCGGAUUAGAAAGUUGGGGGUGAAAUCCCGGGGCUCAACCUCGGAACUGCCUCCAAAACUCCUAGUCUAGAGUUCGAGAGAGGUGAGUGGAAUUCCAAGUGUAGAGGUGAAAUUCGUAGAUAUUUGGAGGAACACCAGUGGCGAAGGCGGCUCACUGGCUCGAUACUGACGCUGAGGUGCGAAAGUGUGGGGAGCAAACAGGAUUAGAUACCCGUGUAGUC